AGUGAACGCUGGCGGUAGGCCUAACACAUGCAAGUCGAACGCAGUCUUCGGACUAAGUGGCGCACGGGUGAGUAACACGUAACUGACCUACCCCCAAGUCGCGGAUAACUGGCCGAAAGGUCAGCUAAUACGUGAUGUGAUGUCCCCUUUCUGGGGGGCCAUUAAAGGUUUACUGCUUGGGGAUGGGGUUGCGUUCCAUCAGCUAGUUGGCGGGGUAAAGGCCCACCAAGGCAACGACGGAUAGCCGGCCUGAGAGGGUGGCCGGCCACAGGGGCACUGAGACACGGGUCCCACUCCUACGGGAGGCAGCAGUUAGGAAUCUUCCACAAUGGGCGAAAGCCUGAUGGAGCGACGCCGCGUGAGGGAUGAAGGUUCUCGGAUCGUAAACCUCUGAAUCAGGGACGAAAGACGCGUAAGCGGGAUGACGGUACCUGAGUAAUAGCACCGGCUAACUCCGUGCCAGCCGCCGCCGUAA
rnacentral:rRNA from 1 species